UGCCAACUCUAGCUCAAUCAAUCUUUUACUCGUAAACCCCUUCCUAAAUUAACUAAAACAUUUUCUUCACUUAGUAUAGGCGAUAGAAAAGUAACUAGACGCAAUAGAGACUCCGUACCGUAAGGGAAAGCUGAAAUAGCAAUGAAACAUUAAGCACAAAAUAGCAAAGACCAACCCUUGUACCUUCUGCAUCAUGAUCUAGCAAGAACAACCAAGCACAGCGAACUUUAGCUUGCACCCCCGAAACCCAAGCGAGCUACUUACAAGCAGCCAAAAUUGGGCAAAACCCGUCUCUGUAGCAAAAGAGUGGGAAGACUUGUCAGUAGAGGUGAAAAGCCAAUCGGAGCUGGGUGAUAGCUGGUUGCCCACGAAACGAAUCUAAGUUCACCCCUAAACCUCCCUAUAGGCAGAAAUCAAACUAACCUAAAUGAGACAGUUUAGGAGUUAUUUAAAGGAGGUACAGCUCCUUUAAACCAGGAUACAACCUAUGCUAGAGAGGUAAAGCUCCUUCUUUCUAACAUGUUGGCCUUCAAGCAGCCACCAACCAAGAGUGCGUCAAAGCUCCCCCUUAAAAAAAUCUAAAAACACCACGAACCCCUUACCCCUAGUGGGCCAACCUAUAAAUAUAGGAGAAUUAAUGCUAGAAUGAGUAAUUCGAAGACCCUACCCCUUCUCUUAGGCGCAAACUUACAUACUAGAUUAUUAACAGCCUGACUUAUAUAGCCACCCCACAAGACUAUUUAUUUAACCAGCCUGUUACCCCAACUCAGGAGCGCCCCCCAGACAGAUUAAAACCUGCAAAAAGGAACUCGGCAAACCUAAGACCCGACUGUUUACCAAAAACAUAGCCUUCAGCCCACACAAGUAUUGAAGGUGACGCCUGCCCAGUGACUAAUGUUUAACGGCCGCGGUAUCCUAACCGUGCGAAGGUAGCGCAAUCAAUUGUCUCAUAAAUCGAGACUUGUAUGAAUGGCUAAACGAGGUCUCAACUGUCUCUUGCAGGUAAUCAAUGAAAUUGAUCUCCUGUGCAAAAGCAGGGAUCGUGACAUAAGACGAGAAGACCCUGUGGAACUUAAAAAUCCUUGGUCAAUACACCUACUCUAUUAACCAACAUGGCCUACUCCCCUGUAUCUUGACCCUAUUUUUUCGGUUGGGGCGACCUUGGAGUACAAACCAACCUCCAAGAUUAAGACCAUCACAUCUUAACCUAGAGCCUACACCUCAAAGUACUUACAGUAACCAGACCCAAUAUAAUUGAUUAACGGACUAAGCUACCCCAGGGAUAACAGCGCAAUCUCCUUCAAGACCCCCUAUCGACAAGGAGGUUUAGCACCUCGAUGUUGGAUCAGGACAUCCUAAUGGUGCAGCCGCUAUUAAGGGUUCGUUUGUUCAACGAUUAAUAGUCCUACGUGAUCUGAGUUCAGACCGGGGCAAUCCAGGUCGGUUUCUAUCUAUGUUCUACUGCCCCGAGUACGAAAGGCCCGGGGCAGUGAGGCCAAUACUACACCACAUGCCUCCGCUCUAGUUAGUGAAACCAACUCAACUAUCAAGAGCACACCAAACCACACCCCACACCCUAA
rnacentral:rRNA from 1 species